rnacentral:rRNA from 1 species
UGGGGAAUUUUGCGCAAUGGACGAAAGUCUGACGCAGCAACGCCGCGUGGGUGAUGAAGGUCUUCGGAUCGUAAAACCCUGUCGUCAGGGACGAAGUGUUGAGGGCUAAUACCUUUCAGCAUUGACGGUACCUGGAGAGGAAGCCCCGGCUAACUCUGUGCCAGCAGCCGCGGUAAUACAGAGGGGGCAAGCGUUAUUCGGAAUUAUUGGGCGUAAAGGGCGCGUAGGCGGUUUUGUAAGUCAGAUGUGUAAUCCCCGAGCUUAACUUGGGAACUGCAUCUGAGACUGUGAGACUAGAGUGCUGGAGAGGGUGGUAGAAUUCCACGUGUAGCGGUGAAAUGCGUAGAGAUGUGGAGGAAUACCAGUGGCGAAGGCGGCCACCUGGACAGUAACUGACGCUGAGGCGCGAAAGUGUGGGUAGCAAACAGG